CCUACGGGUGGCAGCAGUGGGGAAUAUUGCACAAUGGGCGAAAGCCUGAUGCAGCAACGCCGCGUGAGCGAUGAAGGCCUUCGGGUCGUAAAGCUCUGUCCUCAAGGAAGAUAAUGACGGUACUUGAGGAGGAAGCCCCGGCUAACUACGUGCCAGCAGCCGCGGUUAUACGUAGGGGGCUAGCGUCAUCCGGAAUUACUGGGCGUAAAGGGUGGGUAGGUGGUUUCUUAGGUCAGAGGGGAAAGCGUACGGCUAAACCGUAGUAAGCCUUUGACACUGGGAAACUUGAGUGCAGGAGAGGAGAGUGGAAUUCCUGGGGUAGCGGUGAAAUGCGUAGAUAUUAGGAGGAACACCAGUUGCGAAGGCGGCUCUCUGGACUGUAACUGACACUGAGGCACGAAAGCGUGGGGAGCAAACAGGAUUAGAUACCCCUGUAGUC
rnacentral:rRNA from 1 species